rnacentral:rRNA from 1 species
CAUGUAGGCGGAUUAAUAAGUUUGAAGUGAAAUCCUAUAGCUUAACUAUAGAACUGCUUUGAAAACUGUUAAUCUAGAAUGUGGGAGGGGUAGAUGGAAUUUCUGGUGUAGGGGUAAAAUCCGUAGAGAUCAGAAGGAAUACCGAUUGCGAAGGCGAUCUACUGGAACAUUAUUGACGCUGAGAUGCGAAAGCGCGGGGAGCAAACA